GCGGGGCUCCCCUCUGCUUCUCCCCUCUGUUCCAGCGCUGAGACGCAGGCCUUUCCUGGCGCGAAGCGACUCGCCCCGGAGCUCCCCUGCACCGUCCUGGGUGUCAGGACGCGUCAACCCAGAUGACCCGACCCGGAGAUCCUGGAUCCUCUGCCCUCUUCCCCCUACCAAGUCCUUAACCGGAGAGGGAGGAGCUACCAAUGUCCUCCAGACGUUCUCCAAAGCCCGAGCUGCCGGGAGAAGCUUGCUCAAGGCGGGUGCGCCCCUCAGACGUUUGUUUGCACGCAGGGGUUUUGACGUUUCGCUAAGCAACAGCGUUUGCCAGGGAAUCAGGGCUGUUUCGAAGAGCUUGCGUCUAUUUGAUGCUCCCAUCUUGAACAAAUCGUUUCCAUUCGAUUUGUUUAACCAAGGCGAGGGCGGACUAUGUUGUUACUUAAAAGUUAUUCUUCAUCCAAGCUGUCCUCAGAUUUUCAUCUAAGGGUGUCAUAACACCCCAGGUCGUUGCGCAAAUGUUUUGUGACAAUUUAGAAAACCAGAGGGGGGAAAUAUCCUUAGAGAAAAAAUCAUAACCAACAAGAAAAUUAUGUUAAAUGAUGUUGGUCCUUUUUCAUCGGAUGGUCCCAGUUGACACAUAGUCUUUUACAAAACCAGUGACUAUUCACAGUCUUCAAUUUAUGGCACAUCUCCCGGUGGGGGCGAAGUGCAUGAAUGGGUCCCACCUUAUUCACCAGCUGAAACUCUGAACAAGCCUUGGGGUUUCCUCUCCCAAAGACUGCCAGGCUUCACUAAGAAUCAAAACAAAACAGGAUACUAAAUGCCUGCGAUGGAAUCUCACUCUGUCACUAGGUUGGACUGCAGUGGUGUGAUCUCGGCUCACGGCAACCUCCGCCUCCCGAGUUCAAGCAAUUCUCCUGCCUCAGCCUCCGAGUAGCUGGGACUACAGGUGCACGCCACCAAGCCCGGAUAAUUUUUGUAUUUUUAGUAGAGACAGGGUUUCACCAUGUUGGCCAGGAUGGUCUUUAUCUGUUG
rnacentral:lncRNA from 1 species